AGCAGCAUGGCGCAGUUGGAAGCGCGCGGGGCCCAUAACCCCGAGGUCACUCGAUCGAAACGAGUUGCUGCUA
rnacentral:tRNA from 1 species